UAGGCCGGAGAUUAAGCGUGUUGUGAAAUGUAGACGCUCAACGUCUGCACUGCAGCGCGAACUGGUUUCCUUGAGUACGCAUAAAGUGGGCGGAAUUCGUGGUGUAGCGGUGAAAUGCUUAGAUAUCACGAAGAACUCCGAUUGCGAAGGCAGCUCACUGGGGCGCAACUGACGCUGAAGCUCGAAAGCGCGGGUAUCGAACAGGAUUAGAUACCCUGGUAGUCCGCGCGGUAAACGAUGGAUGCCCGCUGUUGGGCCAACUGGUUCAGCGGCCAAGCCGAAAGCAUUAAGCAUCCCACCUGGGGAGUACGCCGGCAACGGUGAAACUCAAAGGAAUUGACGGGGGCCCGCACAAGCGGAGGAACAUGUGGUUUAAUUCGAUGAUACGCGAGGAACCUUACCCGGGCUUGAAUUGCAGAGGAAGGAUUUGGAGACAAUGACGCCCUUCGGGGCCUCUGUGAAGGUGCUGCAUGGUUGUCGUCAGCUCGUGCCGUGAGGUGUCGGCUUAAGUGCCAUAACGAGCGCAACCCCUCUCCAUAGUUGCCAUCAGGUUAAGCUGGGCACUCUGUGGACACUGCCACCGUAAGGUGCGAGGAAGGUGGGGAUGACGUCAAAUCAGCACGGCCCUUACGUCCGGGGCUACACACGUGUUACAAUGGCAGGUACAGAGAGCCGGUCGUAUGCGAAUACGAUCCAAUCCUUAAAGCCUGUCUCAGUUCGGACUGGGGUCUGCAACCCGACCCCACGAAGCUGGAUUCGCUAGUAAUCGCGCAUCAGCCAUGGCGCGGUGAAUACGUUGCCCGGGCAUUGUACACACCGCCCGU
rnacentral:rRNA from 1 species